GAAACUCGCCUACAUGAAGCUGGAGUUACUAGUAAUCGCAGAUCAGAAUGCUGCGGUGAAUGCGUUCCCGGGUCUUGUACACACCGCCCGUCACACCACGGAAGUUGGGGGCGCCCGAAGCCACUUAGCUAACCCAUUUGGGAAGCGAGUGUCGAAGGUGAAAUCAAUAACUGGGGUGAAGUCGUAACAAGGUAAC
rnacentral:rRNA from 1 species